UGCCAGCCGCCGCGGUAAUACGGAGGGUGCAAGCGUUAUCCGGAAUCACUGGGUUUAAAGGGUGCGCAGGCGGUCCGAUAAGUCAGAGGUGAAAGCCUACAGCUUAACUGUAGAAUUGCCUUUGAUACUGUCAGACUAGAAUAAGGUUGAGGUUAGCGGAAUGUGACAUGUAGCGGUGAAAUGCAUAGAUAUGUCAUAGAACACCAAUUGCGAAGGCAGCUAGCUGGGCCUUUAUUGACGCUCAGGCACGAAAGCAUGGGGAGCGAACAGGAUUAGAUA
rnacentral:rRNA from 1 species